rnacentral:rRNA from 1 species
GCUUGUCUCAAAGAUUAAGCCAUGCAUGUCUAAGUAUAAGCACUUAUACCGUGAAACUGCGAAUGGCUCAUUAUAUCAGUUAUAGUUUAUUUGAUAGUUCCUACUACUUGGAUAACCGUAGUAAUUCUAGAGCUAAUACAUGCGACAACCCUCAUUCGAGGCGUAUUUAUUAGAUACAACCAACCCUUCGGGUACAUGGUGAAUCAUAAUAACUUCGCGAAUCGUUUUCGGACGAUGAUUCAUUCAAAUUUCUGCCCUAUCAGCUUUUGAUGGUAGGGUAUUGGCCUACCAUGGCUUUAACGGGUAACGGAGAAUUAGGGUUCGAUUCCGGAGAGGGAGCCUGAGAAAUGGCUACCACAUCCAAGGAAGGCAGCAGG